GUUUAUUCCAAUGACAUGGCAAGAAUGGAGACUCUUAUAUCAUUUUAUUUUAAUUUUUAUUUUCAGUUACAUUUUCCUGCUUUUUCAGUUUUCUCAUAUUUAUUUUAGCAUGCCAUAAACUGUAGAGAGAGAGGUUGACCUUAUUUUUCCUCAAUCAGUAUUUGGCUCUUCUCUGUUAUACACAUGGACUGAGGGCAGAUUACAUCAGUUCAAUUGGAAAUUUAGCUUGAUGGGUGCUGAAUUGCAGGUUAAGAUAAAUUUAAUAGUUUUGGGGUAUCAUAUAUUUUAAGUAGAAACAUUUCUUUUGUUUUUGAAGAUCCCUAGAAGGGCUUUGUCACCUAAGUAUUGCUUGAAAGCAAGAUUUUUUAUACCACCCUAGCACUCAUACUACAUUUCCAGUGACUACCCAAAGCUCUCUUUGUUUCUCUUUUCUCCUAGUAGAGUUCAUCUACUCAAGUCUAAUUGCAUCUUCAAACCACAGAUUUGACAAAUGUCCUAAUGAAGCUAAUUACUGCUGAUCUCAUCUUGCCUGAGAAGACAUGUUCCAACUCUGGAAAUAAAUGAGAAUUGGAUUAAGAUCUUUAGAAGCUCUCAGCACUGAAAAGAUUGUGUAUCGGAUCUUCAACAGCAAACCAAUGUUAAAACCUGUCAUGGCAGUAAGACAUCCUUGCAGACCAGGGAACACAGUAAGUAGACUGAAACAUAUUGAGAUAAUAUUGUAGUAUUGAAUUACACCAGAGAUAAUAGCAUUGAUUCAUCCCAGAAGGAUAUUGUAAAUAAUGAACAAUUAAUUGUUGCAGAAACUUUGAAAAUAAAUCGAUGAAAAUCAAGAAGACAGAUCUGGGUGUCUCAAGGAAUCUGUUGGUUUUUUUUUUAGAAAGCUCAGCUGAGUCCUCUGUGGUCAGGGUACAUGAUGUAUUUGCAGUUCUGUCUGCUAGGAGCUUUGAAAAAAAUUGUGGUACUGUUGUGACCUGGGUGUGGACUCUUCUGAAGUCUCUAUGCUUUCUUCUUUGCUCAUUGUUGUUCAGUUGCUAAGUCAUGCCCAACUCUUUGCAACCCCAUAAACUGCAGCACACCAAGCUUCUCUGUCCUCAAUUAGCUCCCAGAGUUUGCUCAAACACGUGUCCAUUGAGUCAGUGAUGCCAUCAGUCAUCUCACCCUCUGUCGCCCCUUUCUCCUCCUACCUUCAGUCUUUCUCAGCAUCAGGGUCUUUUCCAAUGAGUUGGCUCUUCAUGUCAGAUGGCCAAAAUAUUGAAGCUUUAGCUUCAGCAUCAGUCCUUCCAUUGAAUGUUCAGGACUGAUUUCCUACUGAAACCUUAAAAAAAACAAGGCUGACAGAAAGACACAUGUAAAAACCUCAAGGGAAAAAAUAUCCUUUAAUAUUAUUUUGAUUGAGGAAACAGCCAGAGGUCUCUGGUGAUGAGGUGGGGAGCCGGGGUCUAUCAGUUUAGAAAAGUGACCAGGAGAGAUCUGUUUUUCUGUCUCCUGCAUACCACUUCUGUAAUUUGCUUUUUUUUUUUUUUUCCUCAAAAUGAAAAUCGCAUUCAUUGCCUUCUCUGACCCUCCAUCUCUGUUGUCACUCCUGUGGUCAUGUUGAGAAAAUGACAUCUUUAUAAAAGGUCAAGUAUUUGUCAUGUAAGAAAACUGCAUUCCUCUUUCCCAGAAUUAUGAAUUCAAGAAACAAAGGCAAGAAGUUAGGCUACCACAAUCCUUCAGUCCAGUUUAUUUGUUUGAGUCAUAAGGAAUGUACCCACUUUAUGGAAGCUUUAAAUUAUUUAUGUGGAAGUAAACCUUUACUGAAAGUUUUCAUCCUUCUUUGCUCUGUCAUCUCUU
ensembl:lncRNA